UACGGGAGGCAGCAGUGGGGAAUAUUGCACAAUGGGGGAAACCCUGAUGCAGCCAUUGCCGCGUGUGUGAAGUAAGGCCUUCGGGUUGUAAAGCACUUUCAGUAGGGAGGAAGGUAGUGUAGUUAACACCUGCAUUAUUUUGACGUUUACCUACAGAAGAAGCACCGGCUAACUCCGUGCCAGCAGCCGCGGUAAUACGGAGGGUGCGAGCGUUAAUCGGAAUUACUGGGCGUAAAGCGCAUGCAGGCGGCCUGUUAAGUCAGAUGUGAAAGCCCGGGGCUUAACCUCGGAAUUGCAUUUGAAACUGGCAGGCUAGAGUCUUGUAGAGGGGGUAGAAUUUCAGGUGUAGCGGUGAAAUGCGUAGAGAUCUGAAGGAAUACCAGUGGCGAAGGCGGCCCCCUGGACAAAGACUGACGCUCAGAUGCGAAAGCGUGGGGAGCAAACAGGAUUAGAUACCCUGGUAG
rnacentral:rRNA from 1 species